UCGAUUCUACUUCCGUCUUCUACAACCGUCGAUUUUUUGAAAUCUGAGCUCGUGAAUUAUGUGUGGUUGUAUUCAACGGAGACGAUGGGAAGGAGAAAGAAAGGUCGAGGUGUUGUCUGAUAUCGAUUUUGAUUUUGAUUUUGCUUUCUUUUUUAAUUUUUGGAUUAUAAUCGAAAAAAAAUACUUUUAACUGUUUAAAUUUUAAAAUAUACGACCUUUGAAAAUGUUUUUAUAUACGACUUAAAUAAUGGAUAAAGGAGCUUGGGGAUUGGGUGGGUGUUUCUUAUACAAGGUUUCGUAGCACGUGGCCAUUACCAUCGCCACGUUGGAUGCUUGGAUGCUGAUGUAACCAACUCAGGUUGGCACGUGACUGGUUGCCUCUCGACACGUACGAGCGUACUGCUUACCUAUGAACGCUAAUGGUCCGCGGGACAGGGACGCUGGUUCCCGGAGGAUAAGGACUUUAUGUAAUGAAUCUAUGAUGAAGAUGAGGGGCAAAAAAGGUACUUCGAGAUGCUUAUAUGGAAUUCGAGUAGGUUUUGUUUAAAAAUAAUGUGAUAAUGUUGACCUCUUUUUGAUUUAAAGAGAAUAUCAAAUAAAUUGAUAAUGUUUGAGGUUUAGCUUUCAAUUCCAAAGAAAAGAUGAAUUUUGCUUUGAAGUUUUAUAGAAUAUUAGUACUAAUCCAGUUAACAAAGAUUCGUAUUUUGUUCUAAACUUGUUUUUAAUAUUGAGGAAUGACAGAGAGAUGGUUGUGGAGCACCCAUUCGUAAUCUAAAGGAGCCACAUAGCUUCUCC
rnacentral:lncRNA from 1 species